UGAAAACUCCGGUUCCUAUACAUGUCCCAU
rnacentral:piRNA from 1 species